AAAACAUCUUCUCUUGUUUAAUUAUUUGAGAUAAGGCCUGCCCAAUGAUUAAUUAAAUGGCCGCGGUAAUUUGACCGUGCAAAGGUAGCAUAAUCAUUAGUUUAUUAAUUGUAAACUUGUAUGAAUGGUAUGACGAGGUAUUAGCUGUCUCUUAUUUAUAGUUAGAAUUUGAAUUUUUAGUUAAAAUGCUUAAAUUUAUUUAUUGGACGAGAAGACCCUAUAGAUCUUUAUUAAAAAUUAUUUAAUAAAAUUUGGUUUGAUUUUAUUUUUUAAAUUUUUUUUAUUUUUGUUGGGGUGACAUGGAGAUAUAUUUAACUCAUUAUUUUAUAGAACAUUGAUUUAUGAUUAUUUGACCUUUUAAUAUUGUUAUAAGAUAUAGAUACCUUAGGGAUAACAGCGUAAUUUCUUUUGAGAGUUCUAAUUGACAAGGAAGAUUGCGACCUCGAUGUUGGAUUAAGAUCAAUUUUUGGUGUAGAUGCCUAAAAUUUUAGGUCUGUUCGACCUUUAAAUUCUUACA
rnacentral:rRNA from 1 species